rnacentral:rRNA from 1 species
AGAUUGAACGCUGGCGGCAGGCCUAACACAUGCAAGUCGAGCGGUAGAGAGGUGCUUGCAUCUCUUGAGAGCGGCGGACGGGUGAGUAAUGCCUAGGAAUCUGCCUAGUGGUGGGGGAUAACGUUCGGAAACGGACGCUAAAUACCGCAUACGUCCUACGGGAGAAAGCGGGGGACCUUCGGGCCUCGCGCCAUUAGAUGAGCCUAGGUCGAUUAGCUAGUUGGUGA